GCCUUCAUCAGCGACUCAUGAUGCUCAUCUCUACAGCCCAGAGGACAUUUAAAGAACUAAAUAAAGAUAUAGAAGGUGGCCCCUUCUCUCAUCAGUAAGCCUUACCAUCUAAGGGACACUCUGGACAUCGGAAGAUUCCAAGUCGUCUCUUACGUGGAACGUUAGAUUGAGGUCAGGAGCAGAAAGCCAGAAGUGGACAUUAGCCAGUUGGUAGUGCGGAACUUCUAAGAAUUAGGAUUCAUCUGGCGACCCAGCAGAUUAGUGAAGAAAAAGUUAGAAGAAUAUUACCCUAAAUCAGGGUCAGGUGAUAAGGGUCUGCAUUAUGACAGCUGGAACUGAAGUGAAUGAAAUAAAUGUGAGCACCACAAAGGAAGUCUCAUCGGGGCUUGGCUGAAUAUAA
rnacentral:lncRNA from 1 species